rnacentral:rRNA from 1 species
CCGUGAGUGCGGUAGCCCGGAGAUGGGUACUGAGACAAGGACCCAGGCCCUACGGGGCGCAGCAGUCGCGAAAAACUCCGCAAUGCACGAAAGUGUUGACGGGGCUACCCCGAGUGCCAUCCGCUGAGGACGGCUUUUCUUUGGUAUAACUAGCCAGGGGAAUAAGGAGAGGGCAAGACUGGUGUCAGCCGCCGCGGUAAUACCAGCUCUCCGAGUGGUAGGGAUGAUUAUUGGGCUUAAAGCGUCCGUAGCCGGCUUACAAGUCUCCUGUUAAUUCAGCGACCUAAUCGUUGAGCCGCGGGAGAUACUACUAGGCUAGGAGGCGGGAGAAGUCGACGGUACUUCUGGGGUAGGGGUGAAAUCCUAUAAUCCCGGGAGGACCACCAGUGGCGAAGGCUGUCGACUAGAACGCGCCCGACGGUGAAGGGCGAA